CAAACCACAUGGACAUGAGAUGGACGCUUCAUUCCUCUUCCCUAAUUCGCGAGCGGACCUCACCAGAAGAGAAUGAGAAAGAGGACGCGGAGUCCUAGCCGCGCCGGUCACCGGCGACGACGAUGCCACACGGCGACACGACCUCACACCAUCCACCACCUCCUAAUCUAUCAGAAAUGAGAAAACAAACUCCACUUAGCAAAUCAAAGAUAUCACGAUUCGACUCUUACCAUCGACAGAAAAGGAAGAUCCACUGCUCCGGUGGAAGACUUCCAAAGCUCCAGUUUGAAAAUGGAGGAAAGAUCAAAGCUCCAAGACGAAGCUAAUCGGAGAUGUUGAAGAUGAGGUCGCCAGAGGUUAUUCCGGUUGAGUUGGUUCUGUUCUAUUUGGGGAAGGAGGAGAAGUGGAAGAUUUAAACGGUUUGAGAGAGAGUCUGAAAUCAGAAUUUGCAGGUUGCCAAAGGAGAUGGAAGCCAAAGCUUUUGUGAGUGAGGAUUCGCCUUUUUAUAGUUCUGUUAUGAAUGAGUUUUUGAAUAUGAAUUUGUUCUGCGUUUCGCCUUUCUAUUCAUGUUGUUUCUACGUUUUGGCU